rnacentral:tRNA from 1 species
GAGGGUAUAGCUCAAGUGGUAGAGUGCAUGCUUAGCAUGCAGGAGGUCUGGGGUUCAAUCCCCAGUACCUCCU